rnacentral:lncRNA from 1 species
UGGGCAGCCUGCUCUGGGUGUCCCUGCUUGGGCAGGGGUGGGACCAGAUGGACCCAGAGGUCCUUUCCAACACAACAGUUCCGUGAUUCUGUGAAAUUGACCUGUCAAUUUAGAAGAAAUUCUAAAUGAAACUGAGAAAAUGAUCAGUAAGUAACAAGUUGUUAGCACCAGAUGCUCCUCAUCCAAGAGUCCUGAAGGACCUCAAGGAACUUACGCAUACUGUUACCUCACUACUUAACACGACGUCUUACCCAUCAUUUAUGUGGGCUGUGGAUCUAGAGGAAUGAAAGAUUCACUUUCUUUAGUGGUCCUCUGUAAAGACAUAUUUCUAUGUUUGCAAAAUGUAUUGAAGCUGUAUAACAAUUAAACUGCAUACUCGAUUUUAAAAUGAAGAAAGGUCAACGUGGAUUUUAAGUCCAUACUUAGAUGAACUGUUUGCUAAGUUUUGAAAAAAAAAAGUUUUAAGCUUCUUUGAUGGAACUGAGAAAAUAAUUUUAUAGCGUGUAUAGGGAACUGUGAAAUGUAGAAGAUGCUGGAAAAAAAUAACUAAGCUGCAUAACAAGAAGAAGGGGACAGAGGUGGAGUGGGGAGGGAGAAAGUGGUGGUGUGACAUUUUCCACCAGCUGCGGAUCUCAAUUUCUUACUUGUUCUUUGCCAAAGCAGGAAUCCCAGGCCACAAUAUUUAAUGUCCCUCUUCAGUACAAUGGCAUGCUUCUCAAGGAGAAGUCUGCAUUAAUUUUACUGCUUUUGCUAUGUUCAGCCACACCAUCCCCAAGGAUGCUGCUGCUUUGUCAAAUAAUCGGUGCAAAGACAUGUUAACAGUACGAAGGGAGAUUCAUGUGUUUGUUCGUUCAUUCAUUCCACUAAGCUGGUUCCAUUACUGGUUGUCCAGUAAGCAUAGGAAGAGUCUUUGGGUAGUUUUCAUGGAGGUCCAAGAAAGAAGGGAUACCUCUGUUGAAGGAUCAUCUUUGCUCUCAUCUCAAGGAAUCUGCUGAUGAUUGUUGCUGGAGACAGAAGACUGCAAGGUGGAUCUUUGGCCUGACCCAUUAUGUGGGUUGUUUAAUCCAUGUAGGAUUUUAUAGUAGAUCUCAUAUCACAGAAGUUGCUAGCUGUCUUCCAAUACGACCAUCUUGAAAACCUGUCUAGGGGAGCAUCAUUCACAUUAAUCAUCAGAAGGGUUGGAUCUAGUAAAGGAUCAUGGAAACACUGAGAAAACUGAAAACUCAGCAAGCAUGCAAUGUGGCUCUGUUGGCUUCAGGGAGAUUGUGCUGGUUCACACCUGCUGACCAAAUGUCUCACUGUAUUAAUUUAAUCUUAAAUGGCUCUGUGUACUAGGCCAUGGCUGUGGUGAACAGCAGAAGUUAUUGGCCAGGGUAUUUUUCAUGGGGCUGGUUAAGAAACUGCUGAUGAUAUUUUUUUCCAUUGGAAAAUGAUAGUUCAAUGCUUUCCUGAGAAAGAAAGUAUAUUGAAGCCAGUCCUAAAUAAAAGAAUAAAAAAGAAAAGACUUUUAACA